rnacentral:rRNA from 1 species
UUCUCUAUGGAGAGUUUGAUCCUGGCUCAGGAUGAACGCUGGCGGCGUGCCUAAUACAUGCAAGUCGAACGAGGCCCUUUGUAUUCGUACGAAGGUGUCCUAGUGGCGAACGGGUGAGUAACACGUAGGUGACCUGCCCCGAAGCGGGGGACAACUCCGGGAAACUGGAGCUAAUACCCCAUGUUCUCCAUGGUGUUAGAGGACCAUGGAGCAAAGGAGCAAUCCACUUUGGGAGGGGCCUGCGGCCCAUCAGCUAGUUGGUAAGGUAAUGGCUUACCAAGGCUAAGACGGGUAGGGGGCGUGAGAGCGUGAUCCCCCACACUGGUACUGACACACGGACCAGAUACCUACGGGUAGCAGCAGCAAGGAAUAUUGCCCAAUGGACGAAAGUCUGAGGCAGCAACGCCGCGUGGAGGAUGAAGGCCUUCGGGUUGUAAACUCCUUUUCUGGGGGAAGAGAAAGGACGGUACCCCAGGAAUAAGUCUCGGCUAACUACGUGCCAGCAGCCGCGGUAAAACGUAGGAGGCGAGCGUUAUCCGGAUUUACUGGGCGUAAAGCGCGUGUAGGCGGUUAGGUAAGUCGGACGUGAAAGCUCCCGGCUCAACUGGGAGAGGCCGUUCGAAACUACCUGACUUGAGGGCAGUAGAGGGAGGUGGAAUUCCGGGUGUAGCGGUGAAAUGCGUAGAUAUCCGGAGGAACACCAGUGGCGAAGGCGGCCUCCUGGGCUGACCCUGACGCUCAGACGCGAAAGCUAGGGUAGCAAACGGGAUUAGACACCCCGGUAGUCCUAGCUGUAAACGAUGCAGACUUGGUGUUGGCAGUUUAAACACUGUCAGUGCCGUAGCUAACGCGAUAAGUCUGCCGCCUGGGGACUACGACCGCAAGGUUAAAACUCAAAGGAAUUGACGGGGGCCCGCACAAGCAGCGGAGCGUGUGGUUUAAUUCGAGGCUACGCGAAGAACCUUACCUGGGUUUGACAUGUACGUAGUAGGAAUCCGAAAGGUGACCGACCCCUCGGGGAGCGUACACAGGUGCUGCAUGGCUGUCGUCAGCUCGUGCCGUGAGGUGUCCGGUUAAGUCCGGUAACGAGCGCAACCCUUGCCCUGUGUUAUACGUGUCACAGGGGACUGCCGGUAUAAAGCCGGAGGAAGG